CCUCAGUUUCUCACACAUCUGUAUGCAGUUUUGGGAAAUAUUAUUGUUUUAUGUCCAUAUUCUGUCUAGUGAGAGGGCAUGCCUGCAUAAAAAAAGCUUUUGGAUACAUGGCUCCUCCUCCGUGGUGCUGAGCGUCUCUGUGGCCACAUGAGCGGAGUCUGGGAGCAGCAGCGGCUCUGGGAUUUACUACCGGGACUGAGGGAGCAUCUGGAUUAACACCACACACCAGAUUUCUUAUUUCUCUUUUUGUUUUGUUUUUUAUUAUUCUUUUUUUGAAUUGUUGAAGCUUUUUCUUCUAUUUCUGGGCUGAAGAAACAACCUGCAGUCAUGUCUCGGGGUCCGGAUGAUGUGAGCAAGCUGACAGAAAGUACCUACAAGCCUCAGAUCACGAAGCCCCGCCCACACCUCCGACUGCGGCUCAGUGGGUGAUGCUAGGAGAAGAAGCAGACAUGGCGGGCUCGCUCCAAUCAGACCAACUCGAGAGGGCGGUUAUGGCCGGUGUACGGGCUGCACUUCAGUCCACACCACAAACGGUUUCCACACCACAGAUACCUCUGGCCGGGCCCUCACGUACUUCAAGCUUUGCUGCGACCACCACUUCACUAAGAUCGGUCUGCGAGAACUUUGACCAAAGAAGAAAUCAUAGGAAUAGUAUGGGCACAUAGUGAGAGGGUGGUCACAACAGCCUACAGACCAAUCUACAUGAGCCGAGGGAAUGUGUGGACAACUGCCCUCCGACAGUUUAGCAGGCGUAGAUUCGCUGACAGCACAGACAUGCUGUAUGUCACUUUUGCCAGCGAUGAAGACACCAAUGAGGAUGCAGAAGACCUUGGAGGCCCCAGACGAGAAUUCUUCCAUCUACUUGGAAAAGCUGUCUUUAAAGACAGUGGAGCAUUUGAAGCUUCAGCUCCAGAGACGGCAG
ensembl:lncRNA